UGUGGGUCGCUGGGCAGGCGGCGUGGCGCUGGCGAGCGGCUGCGCGCGCGGCAAGUGAGGCAUGGAGAGGCUGCGUGCGGGCAGAAGAGGGAAAGAAAAGGAAGAAGAGGAGCUGAGGUGCGCCUGCGCGCGCGCCAAGUGCUGCUGUUGUCCUGGUGCUGCCUGCUGCUGGAAGUAAAAAAAAAGAGAGGAGUUGAGCUGCUGGUGCAGAAGAGGAGGUGAGGUUGUGCGCGGCGAGAAGGAAACAGAGGAGGAGCGGCCAAGGAGGAAGAGGAGAAGGAGGCUGACUCUGUUGUUGCUGCUGUUGUGGCUGCAUCUGUAGCUGCUGUGGUUGCGUCCAAGUGUAGCGGCGCGUGAGGAAGAGGAGGUGCUGUUGGGCGCUGUGGUCCUGGCGGCUGCUGUGUUCUGCUGCUGCUGCUGACAAAAGAGUAAGAAGGAAGGUUGUGUGCUGCUGCUGCAGGAGACGGAGAGGAGGCAUAGGAGAAAGAGAAGGGCAGCUGCUUGUGGCUCCUGUGUGCUAGUUGCUGCUGCUGUUUGGAAGAGGAGUUGGUCGCAGCUGCUGGUGCUGCUGAGGGGGAGAAGGAUGAGAUGGGGGAGAAGGAUGAGAUGUUGCGCUGGCUGUGGUGUUGUUGCUCCUCCGUGCUUGGUGCAAGGAGCAGAGGGGGAGAGAUGCCUUGGUUCGCUGCAAGGACCAAGGAGAGAGAUGCUGCUACUGAUGGCAGCCAGAUGGAUUUUCUUUUAGGGGGAGAGAGGGAGAUGUGGUGAUGAUGGAGAUGAUGAGGCUGCGGCUUGAGUGUGGUUGGUGAUGAGGAAGUGUCCGGGGGAGAGGCCGUCGUGCCUGAGGUGAGAAUGGUUGAGGCCUGACCAUGGGAGAGGCCGUCGUGCCUGAGGAGAAGAUGGCUGGGGCAGGAGUUGCCCGGAGAGGCCGUCGUGCCUGUGGAGAAGAUGGAAGAGGUCAGUGGCCGAAGAGGCCGUCGUGCCUGUGGAGAAGACGGGCUGAGGACAUUGAGGCGAGUGUGGAUGGUUCUACGGAACCUGUGUAGUGUGGCAGCCGGGUUGUUGAGGAGGUGCAUGGUGCUCAGUUGGCCAUCACAAGUUGGAGGUGGUGAGAAGAUGAUGGAGAGGGCAAUGGCUCUCAUGUAUCGUAGUUGGUUAAGUUUUCUGUUCAUUAGAGUGGUCGUAGUUUGAGUUUAUGUAGUUGUUGCAAGAUGGUCAUGGGUGUUUACCCAUGAUCAUCUUGAGGGGGAGUGUUGGUACAUAUGGGAGGCCCAUGGUGGCCCAGGCCCAGUACUGUUUAUGUAACCCUAAUGUUGUGGUAUAUAUAUAUGUGUGUGUGGUGGUCCUGUGUGAACCAACCUGCAGAUCGACCAAAACCAAGACUGAAUCCAUUCCCUCUCGUGUUACAACAUAUAAUAUCUAGAUUACAAAAUGGCAUUGCAACAUAUCAUUAUUAACUUGUUAAUUUCAUCAAAAUUCCUUUCCAUGAAUAACAGCAAAAAUACUGUUAGUGUUUUGUUAAACAAACAUGAAAAUUGUGAGAUAUUUCGUAUGAUUUCCACUUUUACAGAUCAGCAAACAGUAUAUAAUAUCAAAAUGAGUAAAACAUAAAAAAAUGUGUAUAGUUGACUCCGAAGUGAAGAAUUUCUUUCCCUUAUGAAGAGCAACACAGAAUGGUAACCAGUUGGGAUCUAAAGACAAAUCACAACAAGAUUUAAAAUAUUAUUAGCUAGCACGAGUAACAGAAAGGAAGGGCAAGAUAAUGCAAAGACUCACUUCAAACAUAACCUAAUAU
rnacentral:lncRNA from 1 species